rnacentral:rRNA from 1 species
CCUACGGGAGGCAGCAGUGGGGGAUAUUGCACAAUGGGGGAAACCCUGAUGCAGCGACGCCGCGUGGGUGAAGAAGCGCCUCGGCGCGUAAAGCCCUGUCAGCAGGGAAGAAAAUGACGGUACCUGAAGAAGCAGCCCCGGCUAACUACGUGCCAGCCGCCGCGGUAAUACGUAGGGGGCAAGCGUUAUCCGGAUUUACUGGGUGUAAAGGGGGCGCAGACGGCGAUGCAAGCCAGGAGUGAAAGCCCGGGGCCCAACCCCGGGACUGCUCUUGGAACUGCGUGGCUAGAGUGCAGGAGGGGCAGGCGGAAUUCCUGGUGUAGCGGUGAAAUGCGUAGAUAUCAGGAGGAACACCGGUGGCGAAGGCGGCCUGCUGGACUGCAACUGACGUUGAGGCCCGAAAGCGUGGGGAGCAAACAGGAUUAGAUACCCCAGUAGUC